rnacentral:rRNA from 1 species
AUUGAACGCUGGCGGCGUGCUUAACACAUGCAAGUCGUGCGGUAACAGGCGUAGCAAUACGUGCUGACGAGCGGCGAACGGGUGCGUAAUACAUGGGAAUCUGCCCUUUAGUGGGGAAUAACCCGGCGAAAGCCGGGCUAAUGCCGCAUAAGAUCUUCGGAUGAAAGCGGGGGAUCGUAAGACCUCGCGCUGAUGGAUGAGCCCAUGUCGGAUUAGCAGUUGGUGAGGUAAAGGCUCACCAAGGCGACGAUCCGUAGCUGGUCUGAGAGGACGGCCAGCCACACUGGGACUGAGACACGGCCCAGACUCCUACGGGAGGCAGCAGUGGGAAUAUUGGACAAUGGGGAAACCCUGAUCCAGCGACGCCGCGUGUGUGAAGAAGGCCUGCGGGUUGUAAAGCACUUUC